rnacentral:ribozyme from 12 species
CUUCGUGUGUUUCUUGCUUCUUUUCAAUCUUUGUUACAAGCUUGUUUUAUUUUGUUCUUCUUUCUUUCUAUUAUUUCUGUGUUGAUUAAUUUCCAGACAAAUGGAUGAAGCUAAAGGAGAAGAAAAGGCAGCAUUGGACGAACAACCUAGAGAAC